UGGGGAAUAUUGCACAAUGGGCGAAAGCCUGAUGCAGCGACGCCGCGUGAGGGAUGACGGCCUUCGGGUUGUAAACCUCUUUCAGCAGGGACGAAGCGCAAGUGACGGUACCUGCAGAAGAAGCACCGGCUAACUACGUGCCAGCAGCCGCGGUAAUACGUAGGGUGCAAGCGUUGUCCGGAAUUACUGGGCGUAAAGAGUUCGUAGGCGGUUUGUCGCGUCGUUUGUGAAAACCAGCAGCUCAACUGCUGGCUUGCAGGCGAUACUGGCAGACUUGAGUACUGAAGGGGAGACUGGAAUUCCUGGUGUAGCGGUGAAAUGCGCAGAUAUCAGGAGGAACACCGGUGGCGAAGGCGGGUCUCUGGGCAGUAACUGACGCUGAGGAACGAAAGCGUGGGUAGCGAACAGG
rnacentral:rRNA from 1 species